CGGUACCAUUGUCACAGACGACCACUUUUCUCCCUGCGCUAUCCAUGGUUCACCGGCUCAGGUGACGUGCAGUAUAGGGAAUGCCGAGGGGGCUGGUUCUAGAGUAACGCCGAGACACUCCCAGUGAGAGUCCACUAGUCCCGCAAAGAUGAGCAAGCAGACUUUAUAUGGUUUGGUUUAAUCAAAGACAAACGAAGUGUCGGAAUGACAAUGCAUGAUACUGAGAAACAAAAUGCAGAGUACGCUAGCCGUAGCUACCAGCAGACCUAAUUAUAUACAGUCUGCGGUCUACGUGAAAUGUAAAGG